UACGUAGGGGGCAAGCGUUGUCCGGAAUCAUUGGGCGUAAAGCGCGUGUAGGCGGCUCGGUAAGUCCGCUCUGAAAGUCCAGGGCUCAACCCUGGGAUGCGGGUGGAUACUGCCGAGCUCGAGUCCGGAAGAGGCGAGUGGAAUUCCCGGUGUAGCGGUGAAAUGCGCAGAUAUCGGGAGGAACACCAAUUGCGAAGGCAGCUCGCUGGGACGUUACUGACGCUGAGACGCGAAAGCGUGGGGAGCAAACAGG
rnacentral:rRNA from 1 species